AUUGGGCGUAAGCGAGCGCAGGCGGUCUUUUAAGUCUAAUGUGAAAGCCUUCGGCUCAMCCGAAGAAGUGCAUUGGAAACUGGGAGACUUGAGUGCAGAAGAGGACAGUGGAACUCCAUGUGUAGCGGUGAAAUGCGUAGAUAUAUGGAAGAACACCAGUGGCGAAGGCGGCUGUCUGGUCUGCAACUGACGCUGAGGCUCGAAAGCAUGGGUAGCGAACAGGAUUAGAUACCCUGGUAGUCCAUGCCGUAAACGAUGAUUACUAAGUGUUGGAGGGUUUCCGCCCUUCAGUGCUGCAGCUAACGCAUUAAGUAAUCCGCCUGGGGAGUACGACCGCAAGGUUGAAACUCAAAAGAAUUGACGGGGGCCCGCACAAGCGGUGGAGCAUGUGGUUUAAUUCGAAGCUACGCGAAGAACCUUACCAGGUCUUGACAUCUUCUGACAGUCUAAGAGAUUAGAGGUUCCCUUCGGGGACAGAAUGACAGGUGGUGCAUGGUUGUCGUCAGCUCGUGUCGUGAGAUGUUGGGUUAAGUCCCGCAACGAGCGCAACCCUUAUUACUAGUUGCCAGCAUUAAGUUGGGCACUCUAGUGAGACUGCCGGUGACAAACCGGAGGAAGGUGGGGACGACGUCAAAUCAUCAUGCCCCUUAUGACCUGGGCUACACACGUGCUACAAUGGAUGGUACAACGAGUCGCGAGACCGCGAGGUUAAGCUAAUCUCUUAAAACCAUUCUCAGUUCGGACUGUAG
rnacentral:rRNA from 1 species